rnacentral:lncRNA from 1 species
UUGUAUGCCGGAAGGGAUAAAUCUGGGGCUGAGUACAAGCAAAACAAGACCAAAGGAAGCUACCUGAGCAGGUAUUCCAGAUACUCAUGUCAUACACCAAGGUUGUACCAGUGCCCCUUUCUCUGUGACACAUCCAUCCACUGGAAACUUUCGUACAACUAGCUGAAAGAAGAGAAACAUCCUAUUUCAUGUCACUGGAGCCCUAAUGAUCGCAGCCAUUUCAGGAAAUGCCAUCAAUUACAGUGAGGAGCUCAUUCAGAAGUGAAAGAUGAGUUCCAUUCUCUGUUACUUAGAGGGUGGAUAUCCUCCUCCACUGAAUGCAAACUAUUAAGUAAUGAAAAGACAGCACUCCAAGCAAUAUAGAUUUAUAGGCCAACCUGGCAAUCAAGGGUAACUGACAUGAAAAUGGAUUGCUUCACAUUUUAAUUACAAAGAUACUCUUCAGUACCAUAAAUUGAAGAAAACACUAACUUUUUGUGGCUACUGUAAUUGUCAAAGUAUAAUUACCUGUGUUUUCUCACCUACGUAUUUGAGAUAGAGACAAAACCAAUUUUACGGCCCCUACAUUUUGAGAACCCAACUGCAUCUGAGAACCAAACUUCUUGGAAAUUCUAAAGGGCAUGCCAUAGGCAGCCUAGCUACUUUAACAGAGCAUUUCAAUCAGUUUUUCUCCACGGUUUGGCCAAAUAAUUAGUAUGUUUCCUGGCAACACAUUGAGAAAGAAAGCUGGUAUAGAAUCUUCCUAACAAUGGACCAAGAUGAGAGAAGAAGCCAGUCAUAUCCAUUUCUCAACCUUCGGUCUUCUUGCAUAUGGGGGAAAGGUGUGUCCUCAAUUUCAAAUAUGUUUGAAGAUUUAACUAUCACUCAUGCUUAGAAAUUUUAAUUUUUGGAUUGAUACUUUGUUUUACUCAGGAAUGAUCAGAAAAGUUUUAAACUGCACGAUUACAAUUCACAAAAAGAGGAAAAACCAGUUUUAAUUAGUAAAUUUAACCAGAAAUUGAGCUUCAUGAUAUUUAAAGGGAUGGUGGGUUUUAUGAUUACUCCUCAUAGAUUCUGUCUGUUCAAGUUUUUAAUUACUAGAUCUGACAUUUUGCAUGAGUUUGUUCAUUUGACAGGAUCUGGACAUUUAAAAAUAAAACUAAAAAAAAAUUGUUCGAUAUACAAA